CCCUUAGAUGUCCGGGGCCGCACGCGCGCUACACUGAAGGAAUCAGCGUGGCUUUCUCCCUGACCCGAAAGGGUUGGGAAACCCGUUGAAUCUCCUUCGUGAUAGGGAUUGGGGCUUGAAAUUGUUCCCCAUGAACGAGGAAUUCCCAGUAAGCGCGAGUCAUAAGCUCGCGUUGAUUACGUCCCUGCCCUUUGUACACACCGCCCGUCGCUACUACCGAUUGAACGGUUUAGUGAGGGCCUCGGAUUGGUCUCGGCCCGCUCUUUACCGGGCGGCGCCGUUGGUCGAGAGGACGCUCGAACUUGAUCGUUUAGAGGAAGUAAAAGUCGUAACA
rnacentral:rRNA from 1 species